GUGAGGAAUAUUGGUCAAUGGGCGGAAGCCUGAACCAGCCAUGCCGCGUGCAGGAAGACGGUCCUAUGGAUUGUAAACUGCUUUUAUUCGGGAAUAAACCUCCUUACGUGUAGGGAGCUGAAGGUACCGAAUGAAUAAGCACCGGCUAACUCCGUGCCAGCAGCCGCGGUAAUACGGAGGGUGCAAGCGUUAUCCGGAAUCAUUGGGUUUAAAGGGUCCGCAGGCGGGAAUAUAAGUCAGUGGUGAAAGCCCGUUGCUUAACAACGGAACUGCCAUUGAUACUGUAUUUCUUGAAUUCGAUCGAAGUGGGCGGAAUAUGACAUGUAGCGGUGAAAUGCUUAGAUAUGUCAUAGAACACCGAUAGCGAAGGCAGCUCACUAGGUCUGGAUUGACGCUCAGGGACGAAAGCGUGGGGAGCAAACAGG
rnacentral:rRNA from 1 species